UACAGAGGUCUCAAGCGUUGUUCGGAUUCAUUGGGCGUAAAGGGUGCGUAGGCGGCGCGGUAAGUCGGGUGUGAAAUCUCGGGGCUUAACUCCGAAACUGCAUUCGAUACUGCCGUGCUUGAGGACUGGAGGAGGAGACUGGAAUUUACGGUGUAGCGGUGAAAUGCGUAGAUAUCGUAAGGAAGACCAGUGGCGAAGGCGGGUCUCUGGACAGUUCCUGACGCUGAGGCACGAAGGCCAGGGGAGCAAACGGG
rnacentral:rRNA from 1 species